rnacentral:rRNA from 1 species
AGUGAACGCUGGCGGUAGGCCUAACUCAUGCAAGUCGAACGGCAGCACCGUAAGCGCUUGCUCUUACGGGUGGCGAGUGGCGGACAAGUGAGGAAUACAUCGGAAUCUACUUUUUCGUGGGGGAUAACGUAGGGAAACUUACGCUACUACCGCAUACGACCUACGGGUGAAAGCAGGGGAUCUUCGGACCUUGCGCGAUUGAAUGAGCCGAUGUCGGAUUAGCUAGUUGGCGGGGUAAAGGCCCACCAAGGCGACGAUCCGUAGCUGGUCUGAGAGGAUGAUCAGCCACACUGGAACUGAGACACGGUCCAGACUCCUACGGGAGGCAGCAGUGGGGAAUAUUGGACAAUGGGCGAAAGCCUGAUCCAGCCAUACCGCGUGGGUGAAGAAGGCCUUCGGGUUGUAAAGCCCUUUUGUUGGGAAAGAAAAGCAGCAGGUUAAUACCCCGCUGUUCUGACGGUACCCAAAGAAUAAGCACCGGCUAACUUCGUG